rnacentral:rRNA from 1 species
CACGGCGCACGGGUGCGUAACACGUGGGUAACCUGCCCUUUGAUGGGGAAUAACCCCGCGAAAGCGGGGCUAAUUCCGCAUAAGAUCCGCAAGGAUGAAAGCCGUAAGGCGUCGAAGGAGGGGCCUGCGCACGAUUAGCUAGUUGGUAGGGUAACGGCCUACCAAGGCUUUGAUCGUUAGCUGGUCUGAGAGGACGGCCAGCCACACUGGAACUGAGACACGGUCCAGACUCCUACGGGAGGCAGCAGUGGGGAAUCUUGCACAAUGGGCGAAAGCCUGAUGCAGCGACGCCGCGUGGGGGAUGAAGCUUCUCGGAGUGUAAACCCCUUUCGACCCGGACGAAUACCUCGCAAGAGGGGUGACGGUACGGGUAUAAGAAGCCCCGGCUAACUACGUGCCAGCAGCCGCGGUAAGACGUGGGGGGCCAGCGUUGCUCGGAAUUACUGGGUGUAAAGGGUCAGUAGGCGGUGUGGCAAGUCGGGAGUGAAAUCUCUGGGCUUAACUCAGAGACUGCUUCCGAAACUGCUGUGCUUGAGUAUGGGAGAGGCGCGUGGAAUUGCAGGUGUAGCGGUGAAAUGCGUAGAUAUCUGCAGGAACACCCGUGGCGAAAGCGGCGCGCUGGACCAUAACUGACGCUGAAUGACGAAAGCUAGGGGAGCAAACAGGAUUAGAUACCCUGGUAGUCCUAGCCCUAAACGAUCAGGACUUGGGGUGCCACCCGUUCGGGUGUCGUCCCGGAGCUAACGCGUUAAGUCCUGCACCUGGGGAGUACGGUCGCAAGACUGAAACUCAAAGGAAUUGACGGGGGCCCGCACAAGCGGUGGAACAUGUGGUUCAAUUCGA